GCUGACCCUAGAGUCAUUGCAGAUGUGGCUGCUGUGCCACAUAUGCAUCAGUAGAUGGCAGAGAGGAGAGAGGCUGUGUCCACACCCAGUGUUCUGACCUAUGAAUAUCUGAGUGAUCAGUGUAGCAUU